CUUCCUGUUUUUUUCUUUAGUUCUUGCAGAAGAGGCAAUUCUAAAUCACACAGGAGGCUGGUAGACAAGGAAUGAAUUGUUCCACCUCACACAAGGCUAAGGCUAUGUAGAACUGCAACAAUUUUCCAGGUCAAGAAACUUUUCAUCCCUCUACCAACAUCCUUUCAUGGAUCUGUUCAGUUUAAUAUCCUUGCAGUUAUUCAACUUCAAGUAUGAUUUUCUUUCCUUCACUAAGUGAUGUGGAGUGGCUCAGUCAUUAUUCCCCAAGGAACUGGAAAAAUUUCUUCGUUCUCUCCAGGUGGGGAUUAUGUAAAAUAGAAACUCUACAUCUGUGCUCCUUUGUGUACAUAUAAAAGCUUUAAAAAGUCUAAAUCUUUGUAGGCCUCAAGGUAAAUAUGUUUAUUUUUUUAAUAAAGGAAUGGCAACUGUAAAUUUUGAAACA
rnacentral:lncRNA from 1 species